rnacentral:rRNA from 1 species
GACGAACGCUGGCGGCGUGCUUAACACAUGCAAGUCGAACGGAAAGGCCCUGCUUUUGUGGGGUGCUCGAGUGGCGAACGGGUGAGUAACACGUGAGUAACCUGCCCUUGACUUUGGGAUAACUUCAGGAAACUGGGGCUAAUACCGGAUAGGCGCUCCUGCUGCAUGGUGGGGGUUGGAAAGUUUCGGCGGUUGGGGAUGGACUCGCGGCUUAUCAGCUUGUUGGUGGGGUAGUGGCUUACCAAGGCUUUGACGGGUAGCCGGCCUGAGAGGGUGACCGGCCACAUUGGGACUGAGAUACGGCCCAGACUCCUACGGGAGGCAGCAGUGGGGAAUAUUGCACAAUGGGCGGAAGCCUGAUGCAGCAACGCCGCGUGCGGGAUGACGGCCUUCGGGUUGUAAACCGUUUUCGCCUGUGACGAAGCGUGAGUGACGGUAAUGGGUAAAGAAGCACCGGCUAACUACGUG